AUGGAACUCUUUGUCUCCCCUGAGGCCGCUGCCACGGGGAGGUGGUGGAAACAUAACCGUGCUAUAGAUUCUGAGGGGAAAACACAUGUUUGGGGGUAUAGGGUGCUUCCAGCCUUGCUGGGAUGCUUGGAAGAGGGUGUUUGGGGCAGAGCUGCAGACCACAUGGUGCUAUCCUAUUUGUGCUGUGAUGCAGACAUAGCUGUGGCAACUCCAAGUACAUCAGAUCUAUCCAAAAAGAGAAGGGAAAAUAGUAUCAGAGUGUGAUUUACAUUACACUGGAUUUUACUGCACUUUGGCAUUGCAAAGAAAUCUUUGAAAUAGUUGAAAACUACAUAAGGAAUAAGUCAGUUUCUAAUUCACAGAAGAAAAUAUUCUGAG
rnacentral:lncRNA from 1 species